UGUAUUUGCAGUGCUUAGAUGGGAUCUCAAAUGUGACCCCAGUUCACCCGUUCGUCACUAUCUGGACAGACCCCAAACACCAAUGAAACACAGGGUUCUGAGACCAGACAAGGAAACCCACAGAUGGACAUGCAGUGGUCAAUGCCUUCUAGAGGACAGAUUCUUCCUCCUCCACAACCAGGUAUGGGAUAUUGGCCGCCACCACCAUGGGGAUAUCCUACACAUCCAAUGGGGCCUUGGGGACGCCCCCAUGGCCAACACAACCACUUCCAUCACCAGCAGAUUCCGGCUCUCAUCAAGUGACUCCUCCCCCUCACGAUGACUUUGCGGACAGAUGUCUCAAUUCUAGUGGUGGAGCUAUGAACAACAAUCUGAUGUCCUGAUCGAGAGUCAUGGAGCUAAUGUUUGAACUUGUGUGUUUGAACUUGUGAACUAAAAUUGUGCACUAUGGAUGUGAACUUAUGUGAAUUUGUGAACUUAUGUAUUUGGACUUAUGUAUUUUUGUGACCUUAUGUAUUUGGACUGUGUGAAUUUGUGAUAUGAACAUGUAUCCAU